rnacentral:rRNA from 1 species
GACGAACGCUGGCGGCGUGCUUAACACAUGCAAGUCGAACGGGCCUGCCUGGCUUUGGUUGGGUGGGUGAGUGGCGAACGGGUGAGUAACACGUGAGUAACCUGCCCUCUUCUCUUGGAUAACUGCUUGAAAGGGCGGCUAAUACGGGAUGUUCUGGCUGCCUCGCAUGGGGUGGUUUGGAAAGAUUCGGCCUGGUUUUGGUUGUUUUGGUGGGGGAUGGGCUCGCGGCUUAUCAGCUUGUUGGUGGGGUGAUGGCCUACCAAGGCGGUGACGGGUAGCCGGCCUGAGAGGGUGGACGGUCACACUGGGACUGAGACACGGCCCAGACUCCUCGGGAGGCAGCAGUGGGGGAUUUUGCACAAUGGGCGCAAGCCUGAUGCAGCGACGCCGCGUGAGGGAUGGAGGCCUUCGGGUUGUGAACCUCUGUCGCCGGUGAUGUAGGCUCUGCUUUG